AGAACUGCUUUGAAAACUGUUAAUCUAGAAUGUGGGAGAGGUAGAUGGAAUUUCUGGUGUAGGGGUAAAAUCCGUAGAGAUCAGAAGGAAUACCGAUUGCGAAGGCGAUCUACUGGAACAUUAUUGACGCUGAGAUGCGAAAGCGUGGGGAGCAAACAGGAUUAGAUACCCUGGUAGUCCACGCCCUAAACGAUGUACACUAGUUGUUGUGAGACUAGAUCUUGCAGUAAUGCAGUUAACACAUUAAGUGUACCGCCUGGGGAGUACGGUCGCAAGAUUAAAACUCAAAGGAAUAGACGGGGACCCGCACAAGCGGUGGAGCAUGUGGUUUAAUUCGACGAUACACGAAGAACCUUACCUGGACUUGACAUAGUAAGAAUGAUUUAGAGAUAGAUUAGUGUCUGCUUGCAGAAACUUGCAUACAGGUGCUGCACGGCUGUCGUCAGCUCGUGUCGUGAGAUGUUGGGUUAAGUCCCGCAACGAGCGCAACCCUCGUCGUUAGUUGCUAACAGUUCGGCUGAGAACUCUAACGAGACUGCCUACGCAAGUAGGAGGAAGGUGAGGAUGACGUCAAGUCAUCAUGGCCCUUACGUCCAGGGCUACACACGUGCUACAAUGGGAUAUACAAAGAGCCGCAAUACAGUGAUGUGGAGCAAAUCUUAUAAAAUAUCUCCCAGUUCGGAUUGUAGUCUGCAACUCGACUACAUGAAGUUGGAAUCGCUAGUAAUCGUAGAUCAGCUAUGCUACGGUGAAUACGUUCCCGGGUCUUGUACUCACCGCCCGUCACACCAUGGGAGUUGAACUCAUUCGAAGCGGGGAUGCUAAAGUAGCUACCUUCCACAGUGGAUUCAGCGACUGGGGUGAAGUCGUAACAAGGUAACCGUAGGAGAACCUGCGGCUGGAUCA
rnacentral:rRNA from 1 species